rnacentral:rRNA from 1 species
ACUCCUACGGGAGGCAGCAGUGGGGAAUAUUGGUCAAUGGGCGCAAGCCUGAACCAGCCAUGCCGCGUGCAGGAAGACUGCCUUAUGGGUUGUAAACUGCUUUUAUAUGGGAAGAAACCCCUCUACGUGUAGAGGCUUGACGGUUACCAUAAGAAUAAGCACCGGCUAACUCCGUGCCAGCAGCCGCGGUAAUACGGAGGGUGCAAGCGUUAUCCGGAAUCAUUGGGUUUAAAGGGUCCGCAGGCGGUCAAUUAAGUCAGAGGUGAAAUCCUAUAGCUUAACUAU